GCAGAACACAAGCUGCAGCUGUUGCUUAUUUCUCUCUCUUUUUAAACAACUGGAAGAACUACCUCCUCUAAUUUUCAUUUUGUAUUCACUACUUCUACUUGUCAUUCGUAAAUCACUUCAGAAACAACGUGUCCUAGUGUUGCCUCUCUGCUACACCUGCUCCUCCUCUUGCCCUUCUCUGUUCUGUACUGUAGAAAGAAGAGGUUGUUGGUUACCUCCAUGGCUUUUGUUGACAGAGAGUGACAUUCAGAGUUUCACUCAUGACUGUCAUUGAAGGGUUUACUGAGUCCCGCAUCACCCAGGGUCCACUGAGAUCUCCCUGCUCUUCAGCUUUGGGGAAGAUGGCCUCAAUUCCACUCAUGCUUAAGCCCUGCCCUGUGAAAAUCCAAAGUCUUCCUCAAGUUGUCUGUGAAUUCCUCAAGAGGUAGAUCCUUUUGGUCUACUCUGACUCUCAACUACCGCUUCCACUGAGCUAACCAACCGUGUAGGUUAUUGAUUCUGUGCCUGCUAUGCUAUUUCUUUCUGUGCCAGAAUCACCAAGGAUAAGAACCUGACACUUCCCUCAGUUUAAAAAACAAUUCUCACCAGGCCCUUGUAUGUGAGUAGAUGAAGAGGUUCACAUUAGAGAAUCUCACACAUCUUCCAAUUGCGUAUAGAUAUCCCUUUUUGUGAAAUGGUCCAACCACACUUGCAGAUUUUUCAUAGACUCCAUGACCCCAGGAGCCCUAGCCUCACCCCCUUCUCUGCCCGCUCUUCCUCCUUCCAUCUCUCUUCUUCACCAGCUUUGUGGAAAAGCCUUUGUAAUGACAAAAGGGCCAUCCAUUUUAAUGGGUCUAUCUUCCUUACAAGGCUGUUGUAAAUUUUAAUUUUUUUAAUUGUGAAUUGACAAAUUAUGGUUGUAUACAUUUAUUGGGUACAAUUUUAUUUUAAAUUUUUUUUUAGACAGUUUCACUUUUUCUUUUUUUUUCUUUUUUUUUUUUAGACAGAAUCUCACUCUGUCACCCAGGCUGGAGUGCAGUGGUAUGAUCCCGGCUCACUGCAACCUCCACCUCCUGGGUUCAAGCAAUUCUCCUGACUCAGCCUCCCAAGUAGCUGGGAUCACAGGCAUGCACCACCACGCAUGGCUAAUUUUGUAUUUUUAGUAGACAUGGGGUUUCACCAUGUUGGCCAUGCUGGUCUCAAACUCCUGACCUCUGGUAAUCUGCCCACCUCAGCUUCCCAAAGUGCUGGGAUUACAGGUGUGAGCCACAGCGCCUGGCCUUUUUUACUUUAAUUUUUGAUUAUAAAAUAUUUCAGGCAUUUAGAAAAGUGCACUGGUAUAUUUUAAGAGUUGACACAUUUAAAUAAGAUAUAAUGGAUGAUAAAAUGUUGCUAUUUUUAUUUCAUGUCUCUCUCUCUUCCCCACCCCCACUACCCCUCCUCCUCCAAAAUAAAAUGCUUUUCAUACAGCUAAAGCCUGGAGCCA
rnacentral:lncRNA from 1 species